rnacentral:rRNA from 1 species
UACGAAGGUCCCGAGCGUUAUCCGGAUUUAUUGGGUUUAAAGGGUGCGUAGGCGGGUUAUUAAGUCAGUGGUGAAAGCCUUCAGCUUAACUGAAGAACUGCCAUUGAUACUGAUGAUCUUGAGUAUGAUUGAGGUGGGCGGAAUGUGUCAUGUAGCGGUGAAAUGCUUAGAUAUGACACAGAACACCGAUUGCGAAGGCAGCUCACUAAGCCAUAACUGACGCUGAUGCACGAAAGCGUGGGGAGCAAACAGG